rnacentral:rRNA from 1 species
UCGGGAAUAUUGCGCAAUGGAGGAAACUCUGACGCAGUGACGCCGCGUAUAGGAUGAAGGUUUUCGGAUUGUAAACUAUUGUCAACAGGGAAGAAAAAGACAGUACCUGAAGAGGAAGCCCCGGCUAACUAUGUGCCAGCAGCCGCGGUAAUACAUAGGGGGCGAGCGUUAUCCGGAUUUAUUGGGUGUAAAGGGUGCGUAGACGGGAAGGCAAGUUAGUUGUGAAAUCCCUCGGCUUAACUGAGGAACUGCAACUAAAACUAUCUUUCUUGAGUGCGGGAGAGGAAAGUGGAAUUCCUAGUGUAGCGGUGAAAUGCGUAGAUAUUAGGAGGAACACCAGUGGCGAAGGCGACUUUCUGGACCGUAACUGACGUUGAGGCACGAAAGUGUGGGGAGCAAACAGG